AUUGAACGCUGGCGGCAGGCCUAACACAUGCAAGUCGAGCGGAAGAAGGGAGCUUGCUCCUGGAUUCAGCGGCGGACGGGUGAGUAAUGCCUAAGAAUCUGCCUAGUAGUUGGGGAUAACGCCCGGAAACGGGCGCUAAUACCGCAUACGUCCUGCGGGAGAAAGUGGGGGAUCUUCGGAGCUCAGGCUAUCUGAUGAGCCUAGGUCGGAUUAGCUAGUUGGUGGGGUAAAGGCCUACCAAGGCGACGAUCCGUAACUGGUCUGAGAGGAUGAUCAGCCACACUGGAACUGAGACACGGUCCAGACUCCUACGGGAGGCAGCAGUGGGGAAUAUUGGACAAUGGGCGAAAGCCUGAUCCAGCAAUGCCGCGUGUGUGAAGAAGGUCUUCGGAUUGUAAAGCACUUUAAGUUGGGAGGAAGGGCAGUAAGUUAAUAUCUUGCUGUUUUGACGGUACCAACAGAAUAAGCACCGGCUAACUUCGUG
rnacentral:rRNA from 1 species